GACGAACGCUGGCGGCGUGCCUAAUACAUGCCAGUAGAACGCUGAAGAGAGGAGCUUGCUCUUCUUGGAUGAGUUGCGAACGGGUGAGUAACGCGUAGGUAACCUGCCUUGUAGCGGGGGAUAACUAUUGGAGACGAUAGCUAAUACCGCAUAACAAUGGAUGACCCAUGUCAUUUAUUUGAAAGGGGCAAAUGCUCCACUACAAGAUGGACCUGCGUUGUAUUAGCUAGUAGGUGAGGUAACGGCUCACCUAGGCGACGAUACAUAGCCGACCUGAGAGGGUGAUCGGCCACACUGGGACUGAGACACGGCCCAGACUCCUACGGGAGGCAGCAGUAGGGAAUCUUCGGCAAUGGGGGCAACCCUGACCGAGCAACGCCGCGUGAGUGAAGAAGGUUUUCGGAUCGUAAAGCUCUGUUGUAAGUCAAGAACGAGUGUGAGAGUGGAAAGUUCACACUGUGACGGUAGCUUACCAGAAAGGGACGGCUAACUACGUG
rnacentral:rRNA from 1 species